GACGAACGCUGGCGGCGUGCUUAACACAUGCAAGUCGAACGGAAAGGCCCUGCUUUUGUGGGGUGCUCGAGUGGCGAACGGGUGAGUAACACGUGAGUAACCUGCCCUUGACUUUGGGAUAACUUCAGGAAACUGGGGAUAAUACCGGAUAGGAGCUCCUGCUGCAUGGUGGGGGUUGGAAAGUUUCGGCGGUUGGGGAUGGACUGGCGGCUUAUCAGCUUGUUGGUGGGGUAGUGGCUUACCAAGGCUUUGACGGGUAGCCGGCCUGAGAGGUGGGCCGGCCACAUGGGGACUGAGAUACGGCCCAGACUCGUACGGGAGGCAGCAGUGGGGAAUAUUGCACAAUGGGCGGAAGCCUGAUGCAGCAACGCCGCGUGCGUGAUGACGGCCUGCGGGUUGUAAACCGCUUUCGCCUGUGACGAAGCGUGAGUGACGGUAAUGGGUAAAGAAGCACCGGCUAACUACGUG
rnacentral:rRNA from 1 species